UAGAAGGGGGCCUUGAAUUCCCCCCAGCCCAAGUGUCUCUAGGUAUGGUCUUCUCCCAUCUCCCAGGCUCAGCUGAGUCAUCCCAGGGAAGGCGGAAUAGCUGAGGAAGAAGCAGGUGUUGCAGAUGGGUGGGUGAUUCAGUGGAUGGUGUUAUUCCCACUGAGUCAAUGCUAAAGCAGUUUGUAAGCAGGAAGUUGGGGACACUGUGUGGCUUCAAGAUCUGCUUUCUAAAUCCAGUGACAUUCAAGGAGUCUGCGGUUCCCUCAGUUUGCUUUCCACAGGGACACUUCAGUCAUUCCCAUAAGCUCAGAUCCUUCCAAGCAACUCAGAGGAAGCAAAGCUCCCCAGAAGGUCCCUGCUCAUCUCUUCAAGCAGACGCUGCAGACAGAAAGCAACAACUCAUCAAGCCAUAAUGUCAAGAAAGAAA